rnacentral:rRNA from 1 species
GUGCCAGCAGCCGCGGUAAUACGGAGGGUGCAAGCGUUGUCCGGAUUUAUUGGGUUUAAAGGGUGCGUAGGCGGGCCUUUAAGUCAGUGGUGAAAGCCUGCAGCUUAACUGUAGAACUGCCAUUGAUACUGGAGGCCUUGAGUGUACUAGAGGUAGGCGGAAUUUAUGGUGUAGCGGUGAAAUGCAUAGAUACCAUAAAGAACACCGAUAGCGUAGGCAGCUUACUGGAGUACAACUGACGCUGAGGCACGAAAGCAUGGGGAGCGAACAGGAUUAGAUACCCUGGUAGUCCAUGCCGUAAACGAUGAUUACUCGAUGUUGGCGAUACACUGUCAGCGUCCAAGCGAAAGCGUUAAGUAAUCCACCUGGGGAGUACGCUCGCAAGAGUGAAACUCAAAGGAAUUGACGG